CAGCACUUUCAACUGUCUCGCAGCUGCAGCGUUGGAUCUCUCUCUGUGUGCUAAGGGAAAACGUAAGACGUGUUGCAACGGGCACGCAAGAAGAGAUCUUGCACCGUUUUCAGUCCAUCGAUAGGGCGUUGCCGCAGCAGAACGGUCGUGGAGCUGGAAUUCAGUCAGUGUGGGCUGUAAUGAUAAACUAAACAGCCCUCAGUCAAAGAGCAAAAUCUGUCAGUCGGUGUCCAUUCAACCCGAGGGCAGUCCAGCUACAGAGUAGCUAACACCUGUUCAAAGCAGCAGCACAGGAAACAGAGCCAGGGGUGGACUCUCCGAAGAUAAGCAGCAUUGAGUGCAACCAACCAGUGACCUCAGGGAAUCUUAUAGAGGUAGAACCUUCCAACUUGAAUGAUGGCAGGACUCUGGAAGACGGUUGGGCAGCUGUUCUUGGAAGAGAUGAUGAACCAAAUGGCAGAAAGUGUGUUCAAGAACAUGGACCCUGAACAGGCCAGGGUUUGCCGACUGCUCUGGAGAUUGAGAGCUGCGAUUGCCAGGAUAAGUCUUACCGGGAGGCAAAUCGAGUGCUUCAUGCAGCAAUUGGCCCUUUUCUUAAAUAAUGACAAGGCCAACUUGGGCCAAGGUUUGCAGAUGAUUGUUGAAUCGGUGAUGGUGGCAAGGAACCUAUUUGAAGGGUAUGGAGAGGUUCUGGACCUGAUUGAUGAAAUUAAGAGAGAGUGGGAUCAUUACCAAGCUAGAAAUGGACUUCAGUGUGUUGAAAUCUGAAGGGUCUGUACUCAUUCAAUGAGAAACUUGAUUCAUUCCAUAGUCUACCAAUUCAUUUUUGUAUCCAUGAAUCCUGUUCGUAAAUAAAAAAAUCAGAAGGAACUAA